AUGACCGUACUUGAACAGGAUCUGUUCUAUAGGUCAUACACCUGUCUGUGUUCUUCAACUCAGACAAGUUCCUCAACCCAGACGAAGACAUGCAGCCCCGGCGCCUGAGCGCUACGUAUGACCACUGUGGCCGUGCCGCUGGCACGGACGCGUGGUUCUGGAUGAACGUCCCGCCGAGACCAUUCCACCGGCAGGGAUGGUGCUCGGGGCAUUCAGAUGGGU
rnacentral:snoRNA from 15 species